UGCUGUAAUCGCGGAUCAGCAUGCCGCGGUGAAUACGUUCCCGGGCCUUGUACACACCGCCCGUCACACCAUGGGAGUUGGGAGCGCCCGAAGCCGGUGAGGUAACCGAGAGGAGCCAGCCGUCGAAGGUGAGACCAAUGACUGGGGUGAAGUCGUAACAAGGUAGC
rnacentral:rRNA from 1 species